UUACGGCCACGUCAUGUUGAAACACCAGGUUCUCGUAUGAUCACCGAAGUUAAGGAACGUCAAGCUUGGUUAGUACUUAGAUGGGUAAUCGCUUGGAAAUACCAGGUGCUGUAAG